ensembl:lncRNA
GGCCAGUGAUCCUGACUGAAGUGAUUGAGGAACAUCUGCAGUCUUUCUUCUGUGGUAUGAGCUAAGGAGCUUCAUCCCACUCAGACAUGAAAACGUUUUUCACAGCAGGAAGCAUCGCGAUUCAUUUACUGCAGCAGCGUCUCAGUCUCAGUCAUCCCGCGGAUGAGAAUAAUUGCAGAUGGGUGUUAUGUGCGCACGCACCAGCAGGCGGCUCACACGCGUUUCAGCAUCCAAGCUGUCUUCUGGACGCUUAAGUUUGUCUUCAGCUAUGGCAAACAAAUGUCAAGAGCAGCCAUGAGCAACACACACCCCCCUCGGGAGCAGCACUGUUGAUGUUUAAGAGUGGAAAGUACCCAUUUGAAACCACUGUCCAUUAAGUGUGUUGGGAACAGGUCCUCCUUUCUGUGUGGGUGGUCUGCAAAGCUUCACUGGAAAAAUUGCAGCAAAAGCAGCAUGUUGUAUCGGCCCGCGGCCAGAAGCCCAGAUGUGACAUUAAUUGUUAUUAAUCUGCUCAGUGAGCCAGUAGUCCGUUUUCACACUUAGUAAAUAUAGGGUACACUUUUAAGUUAAACAAUAAAACUUCAUAUUUAAGUUCAAUAUAGAGGAACAGGAAAUGUGAUGUUUUUGUAGUAAUUCCACCAGACAGUUACAUGACCUCUACUGGUUUCAUGAAAAGACAGGCUGUGUGCUGUGGAUCCGAAAUUCACUUUUUAUGCACAAGUCCCGUCAAAGGCGAGUGACCUGAGAAAAUUUAAACAGAAAUAAAUCUUAUCAGCCACGAAACUGAAUUUAGUGUUUAUUUAAAACUAAUUUGGUCUGAUUGACUCGUUUUAAAGCUACCUUGAAAAACAAUUGGCCAUAAGAGUCACAAAGGGUUUUUUUUUGUUACUUGAGAUG